UACGUAGGGUGCGAGCGUUAAUCGGAAUUACUGGGCGUAAAGCGUGCGCAGGCGGUCUGUUAAGACAGAUGUGAAAUCCCCGGGCUCAACCUGGGAAUUGCAUUUGUGACUGCACGGCUAGAGUGUGUCAGAGGGGGGUAGAAUUCCACGUGUAGCAGUGAAAUGCGUAGAGAUGUGGAGGAAUACCGAUGGCGAAGGCAGCCCCCUGGGAUAACACUGACGCUCAUGCACGAAAGCGUGGGGAGCAAACAGG
rnacentral:rRNA from 1 species